GUAAACUUGGCUGCUUCUGCUGACCAGCCCAUGCAGGCUCUGGAGGUCCUCCUGCUGCUACGGAUUGUCUCUGAGAGACUGAAGGACCACUCGAAGGCAGCUGGCUCCUCCUGCCACAUCACCCAGCUCCUCCUGACCCUCGGCUGUCCCAGCUAUGCCCAGUUACACCUGGAAGAGGCAGCAUCGAGCCUGAAGCAUCUCGAUCAGACCACUGACACAUACCUGCUCCUUUCCCUGACCUGUGAUCUGCUUCGAAGUCAACUCUACUGGACUCACCAGAAGGUGACCAAGGGUGUCUCUCUGCUGCUGUCUGUGCUUCGGGAUCCUGCCCUCCAGAAGUCCUCCAAGGCUUGGUACUUGCUGCGUGUCCAGGUCCUGCAGCUGGUGGCAGCUUACCUUAGCCUCCCGUCAAACAACCUCUCACACUCCCUGUGGGAGCAGCUCUGUGCCCAAGGCUGGCAGACACCUGAGAUAGCUCUCAUAGACUCCCAUAAGCUCCUCCGAAGCAUCAUCCUCCUGCUGAUGGGCAGUGACAUUCUCUCAACUCAGAAAGCAGCUGUGGAGACAUCGUUUUUGGACUAUGGUGAAAAUCUGGUACAAAAAUGGCAGGUUCUUUCAGAGGUGCUGAGCUGCUCAGAGAAGCUGGUCUGCCACCUGGGCCGCCUGGGUAGUGUGAGUGAAGCCAAGGCCUUUUGCUUGGAGGCCCUAAAACUUACAACAAAGCUGCAGAUACCACGCCAGUGUGCCCUGUUCCUGGUGCUGAAGGGCGAGCUGGAGCUGGCCCGCAAUGACAUUGAUCUCUGUCAGUCGGACCUGCAGCAGGUUCUGUUCUUGCUUGAGUCUUGCACAGGUGAACUUCAGUGAUGACAGUGACUUGGAAGACCCUGUCUCAGCUGAGGCCUGGCUGGCAGAGGAGCCUAAGAGACGGGGCACUGCUUCCUGGGGCCGGGGGCGAGCAAGGAAGGGUCUGAGCCUAAAGACGGAUGCCGUGGUUGCCCCAGGUAGUGCCCCUGGGAACCCUGGCCUGAAUGGCAGGAGCCGGAGGGCCAAGAAGGUGGCAUCAAGACAUUGUGAGGAGCGGCGUCCCCAGAGGGCCAGUGACCAGGCCAGGCCUGGCCCUGAGAUCAUGAGGACCAUCCCUGAGGAAGAACUGACUGACAACUGGAGAAAAAUGAGCUUUGAGAUCCUCAGGGGCUCUGACGG
rnacentral:sRNA from 1 species